CAGCAGUAGACUCCUAGGCGGAUCCGCCUUCAAGACGCCAAACCCGCGUGACUGUCGCAUUCGUUUUGGUGCCUCACAGAGGAUCAGCUCCGCCUCCAGGCGGUCCCGUAAAUUCUACUGUCAAACAGCGGAUCCUGAGUGGACCCAUGUCGGAUCCGCGGGCGCGGACGCGCAUUUACUGUAACGGUUGAACAUGACUGUACACCAAGAGCCAAGAAGAGUCAUACUAGUGGAUAUUUUCUUUGCUGGGACACGGUUGCGCUGAACCCUCUCGACCAUCGUUUCGGGGACUCUGAUGACAGUGAAGAGCCAGAAAAUGGUGACUUUGCAUCGCUGAGGUACCUUCCAACUCGCCUGGUAUAUCAGUUGAAGCCUCAAGCCCAAGCCAAUUGCACUGUCAAACUCCACCAUCUCGCCGAGUGCCAGGCAGCUGAGUCACUACCCCUCAACCUGGAGAAAACUGUUAAGGAACGGCAGUCCCUCCUCAACUCCCUCCACCCCCACACCAGCCCUCAACGUGCAGCGAACAGAGGAGCUUUGUGCUGUGAGGAAAAACAUGGUGACACGGUCUGCCACGGACACUGAGGUCACCAAACACGCAAUCGGGUGUUUCAACCGGCGGUGGAUCGGGCAACGAGGAGAUGUGUUCCGCCUCCAUCCACACAAAUGGAGUAAUAGGAGAAAUAAGCAUUAAACAAUCUUUUUAUUGAA